GGCAGCGCGGGAGCAAUCCUGGCGGCGAGUGGCGAACGGGUGAGUAAUACAUCGGAACGUGUCCUGUAGUGGGGGAUAGCCCGGCGAAAGCCGGAUUAAUACCGCAUACGCUCUACGGAGGAAAGGGGGGGAUCUUAGGACCUCUCGCUACAGGGGCGGCCGAUGGCGGAUUAGCUAGUUGGUGGGGUAAAGGCCUACCAAGGCGACGAUCCGUAGCUGGUCUGAGAGGACGACCAGCCACACUGGGACUGAGACACGGCCCAGACUCCUACGGGAGGCAGCAGUGGGGAAUUUUGGACAAUGGGGGCAACCCUGAUCCAGCAAUGCCGCGUGUGUGAAGAAGGCCUUCGGGUUGUAAAGCACUUUUGUCCGGAAAGAAAUCAUCCUGGUUAAUACCUGGGGUGGAUGACGGUACCGGAAGAAUAAGCACCGGCUAACUACGUGCCAGCAGCCGCGGUAAUACGUAGGGUGCAAGCGUUAAUCGGAAUUACUGGGCGUAAAGCGUGCGCAGGCGGUUCGCUAAGACAGAUGUGAAAUCCCCGGGCUUAACCUGGGAACUGCAUUUGUGACUGGCGGGCUAGAGUA
rnacentral:rRNA from 1 species